rnacentral:rRNA from 1 species
GUGAGGAAUAUUGGUCAAUGGGCGAGAGCCUGAACCAGCCAAGUCGCGUGAAGGAAGAAGGAUCUAUGGUUCGUAAACUUCUUUUGCAGGGGAAUAAAGUGCAGGACGUGUCCUGUUUUGUAUGUACCCUGAGAAUAAGGAUCGGCUAACUCCGUGCCAGCAGCCGCGGUAAUACGGAGGAUCCGAGCGUUAUCCGGAUUUAUUUGGUUUAAAGGGUGCGUAGGUGGUUUGAUAAGUCAGCGGUGAAAGUUUGCAGCUUAACUGUAAAAAUGCCGUUGAAACUGUCGGACUUGAGUGUAAAUGAGGUAGGCGGAAUGCGUGGUGUAGCGGUGAAAUGCAUAGAUAUCACGCAGAACUCCGAUUGCGAAGGCAGCUUACUAAGCUACAACUGACACUGAAGCACGAAAGCGUGGGGAUCAAACAGGAUUAGAAACCCCGGUAGUCC